UACAGAGGUCCCAAGCGUUGUUCGGAUUCAUUGGGCGUAAAGGGUGCGUAGGCGGCGCGGUAAGUCGGGUGUGAAAUCUCGGGGCUUAACUCCGAAACUGCAUUCGAUACUGCCGUGCUUGAGGACUGGAGAGGAGACUGGAAUUUACGGUGUAGUGGUGAAAUGCGUAGAUAUCGGGAGGAACACCAGUGGCGAAGGCGACUACCUGCCUGUUCUUGACGCUGAGGCGCGAAAGCUAGGGGAGCAAA
rnacentral:rRNA from 1 species